GGGAAAAUAAUAUAAGCCAACAGUUUCCAGAAUUGGGCAAAGGUCUUAUUCAAAGUAAGCCAAUGGUUAAAGCAGAAGGCAGAAGAGGAUUCAAGGAAGAUGAUUGACCUUUAACCAUGUCAGCAUGACUCAGCAAUGACCAAGAUUUAAGGACUGAGAAAUUUCAUUCUGCUGCAACUCUUCCACCGCCCUGUCUUGUACUAACAUUAGGUAUGGGAGAUACUUAUAUUCUAUGUCUUUAUGGGAGAGACUUAUAUUCUAUGUCUUUAUGGGAGAGACUUAUAUUCUGUGUCUUUGUGGGAGAGACUUAUAUGCUGUGUCUUUGUGGGAGAGACUUAUAUUCUGUGUCUUUGUGGUACAGUCAAGGGAGUUGUUUCAUUAUUCGAACUGUACCCAAAAAGUAAACUAUAAAAAUUGAUACAACAGAACCAACAGUUUCUUUUUUUUGAUAAAAUAAAGCUUAAUUUAUUUGCU
rnacentral:lncRNA from 1 species